GGCAAGUAGUAACAACGAACUGCGAGAAGUCAGCAGACGCCAUAGUACCUACAGGAGUCGAUACAAGUAGGGAAGGGC
rnacentral:ncRNA from 1 species